AAGACGCAAGGCCUGUCAAUGAAUACUCAGAUCAAGUGUCUGUCUGGAAAGCUGGCAGUCUUCCAGAAAUACAAUUAGGGCCCAUUCCAGUGGAACAGAAGUGCUACUUUGGGGGUGGACUGAAACAAGUUGCUGGGCUUCCAUUGGCCAUUGCCACUUGCUUGUCGUUGUGAGGAGGGGCCGUGCCUCCACAGGCCCAUACCUGUAACCUGACGAUACUGUUGUGAGCGGGAAUGGAGGAAGUGCAUGGAAGCCCCUCAGCACGAUGCAUAGUGAACAGACAAGCUGUGAACCUUGGGAGUUAUCACCAUGUGUGAUGAUGCUGGUGAAGAAAGCCUGCACUGAGGAGGCUGUCAGCCUGGGUUUGAAUCCCCUCAUUUGGAAUAUAAUCUUGGCAAAGUC
rnacentral:lncRNA from 10 species